GAAGCACCAGAUUUUCUGGCUGAGGAAACGUUUUCUGAGUUAACUCUGAAGGGUGUUUUAUUUCCAUGAGUGACGGCUUGGUUGAUUCUCUCCUCUCCCUCCUCUUUUCUGUCUUCUCCUCCUCCCCUCUCUGUGUGUUCCCCGCACCACAUGUGCCCUUCGUGGGUCUGUGUCCCUCUCUGCACCCUCACCCCCUCCAUGCUGCCGCUCCUGGGCCUCUGGAUGAAGCCUCCGCAUCUGGUUUCCAUCUCCCUGCGCCGCGGGACUGAAGCCCGGCCGACCCAGAUUUCCCGUUCAUAAAUCAUUACUCAUCUGGAGCCCAGCCAGGAGCACUUCAGGGACUGUUUACUCAGCACGUCUCCUUUUUCAGAAGAACUGCUUCCCUUCUGUGUCGUUUCAAGUCUGGCUGCCAUCUUCUACGUUGAUAAUUUUCCCCAUUUUUAUCUUUGAAAAGCAGACAAGAGAGGAAUUCACUGUGAUAAGGCAUUUAAAUGAACUGUAUCAAACGUACAGCUGGGUCAAACAUAAGAGUUUAUUCCAAUAAAAGUGGCGAGAAAAUCGGAAGUACCUACAUAUUGUGCCUAUAUAGGACAGCAGAGGCCUCUACUCCACACAGUCACUCAAGGAUCAAGAUGAUUAUGCCUCUACAGUUUUGUACCUAAACCAUCAAAAACAUGGGGCCCUGGCCCAGAAGCACACUGGAACACAGAAGUCAUUCAAUCAGGCAGAAGCUGUGCCCACCAGACAGACUUAUUAAGGAGUUCAGUUCACAUCCAGGGCAACACGUCAACAAGGAUGCGUGUGUCACUCUUUCUGUCCAGAAGAAAACAGCCUGUGCUCGGGACCUUCGACCGAUGUACAGUGCAGUUCCAGGGAUCCGCAUGCGGAUGUCUUCAUGGGGACAUUAUUCUAGCUGCUUUUUCUGCCGCUUGAAUGACUUCUAGAGACACUUCAAGCAUCCCUGCCUCCAAGCCUCAUUCUUCAAAGCUCAGCGUGACUUUCAUCUCUGCCAUGGAGCAUUUCCUGAGUAAACUCUCCUGUGAACAUCAAAGUCAUGUGGUCAUCAGCCCCUGUGGAGCCUUCCCUCCCCAGUGCUCACACAGUCUGGACUCAAAUGCAUCUGGAUUGGAGAACCACCCCCAGUGCUGCAGAGCCACCUCAUUUUCUAUCAUCUACCCACCUGGUUUUCGGCAAGAAUCAUCUUGCUUCUCUAGGAAAGCUUUUCACAAAUACGAAGGAAAUGACCAGUGACCUCUCACCCUCACAUCUUCUCUUCGCCAGGAGGAAAAACUUUGUUCCUUCAGCCAUCUUCACAGGCCAGGGACUGGCACUUCCUCCACACUCUCAGCACACCGCCCUGUGCAUCCUACAGUUUACCCACAGGCUCCUAAAGAGUGGAAAUUCCCCAGUUGUGCUCGAAUCAAACCUGCCCUUAAGUACCAUAUUUGUAUAAAGUCAUGUGAGAUCACACUAGCUUCUCAGUGGGUGCAUCAUAGUGCAAGUUAAUUUCAGAUUUAACUGAUUUGACAUGGAUUGAAACUGUUAAGAUAUUUGCAACAUGCUACCACUAAAGAACUAUUACUUUGUCCUAUACUGGGAAGUAGUUUGUGGGAUUUGGGGUAGGUGGAUGUCAGUUGCUCCUGGGCCGUGGGUACAGGAUAAGAUCAAUGGGACUUCAUUUACUGGAAAGUGAUUCCCUCAAUUAGAAGCAAUGCUGUGUGACAUCCCAGGACAGUGGAUAAGCCAUUCAGUAAGUCCAUGGAUGGAGGUCCAGACAGCAU
rnacentral:lncRNA from 1 species